UACAGAGGGGGCAAGCGUUGUUCGGAAUUACUGGGCGUAAAGGGCGCGUAGGCGGCCUGCUAAGUCGAACGUGAAAUCCCCGAGCUCAACUCGGGAACUGCGUCCGAUACUGGCAGGCUUGAAUCCGGGAGAGGGAUGCGGAAUUCCAGGUGUAGCGGUGAAAUGCGUAGAUAUCUGGAGGAAUACCGGUGGCGAAGGCGGCAUCCUGGACCGAGAUUGACGCUGAUGAGCGAAAGCUAGGGGAGCAAACGGG
rnacentral:rRNA from 1 species